rnacentral:lncRNA from 1 species
UUAAAAAUAAAAAUAAAAAUCGAGGCAAUAAUUAUUUUAAAGAAAAAUAUAACCAAAAUUGUCAGAAAAUUAAUUCUUCAUGUGGGUUGUUGUAUAUGUAGAAAGGCAUGUGUACAAUUAAUGAGACAUAAUUAAUUUUAUAGUACAAUUUGAAAUGUUUUGUGUACAACAUGGUAGUGCCGUGUUCGUGCUUUAAAGUGUCAACUCUAAUAAGGAGC